rnacentral:rRNA from 1 species
CAUGCAAGUCGAACGAGAAUGUGCUGACAGAACCUUCGGGGGAAGAUAGCACAGGAAAGUGGCGGAUGGGUGAGUAACGCGUAAGAAACCUGCCUUUCACACCGGGAUAGCAGCUGGAAACGGCUAUUAAUACCGGAUGAUACUUUUUCAUCGCAUGGUGAGAAGGUCAAAGAAUUUCGGUGAAAGAUGGUCUUGCGUCUGAUUAGCUAGUUGGUGGGGUAACGGCCUACCAAGGCGACGAUCAGUAGCCGGCCUGAGAGGGUGUACGGCCACAUUGGGACUGAGACACGGCCCAAACUCCUACGGGAGGCAGCAGUGGGGAAUUUUGCACAAUGGAGGAAACUCUGAUGCAGCGACGCCGCGUGAACGAAGAAGGUUUUCGGAUCGUAAAGUUCUGUCCUGGGUGAAGAUAAUGACGGUAAUCCAGGAGGAAGCCCCGGCUAACUACGUGCCAGCAGCCGCGGUAAUACGUAGGGGGCGAGCGUUGUUCGGAAUUAUUGGGCGUAAAGGGUACGUAGGCGGCUUGUUAAGUUUGGCGUUAAAUUCUGGGGCUCAACCCCAGCAAGCGUUGAAAACUGGCGAGCUUGAGUAGUAGAGGGGACAGUGGAGUUCCUAGUGUAGCGGUGAAAUGCGUAGAGAUUAGGAAGAAUACCGGUGGCGAAGGCGACUGUCUGGAUACAUACUGACGCUGAGGUACGAAAGCGUGGGGAGCAAACAGGAUUAGAUACCCUGGUAGUCCACGCCCUAAACGAUGAGUGCUAGGUGUCGGGAGUCAAAUCUCGGUGCCGCCGUUAACACAGUAAGCACUCCGCCUGGGGAGUACGCACGCA